CUGGCGCAAGCCCGAGUUGUAAUUUGUAGAGGAUGCUUCUGGGUAGCGGCCGGUCUAAGUUCCUUGGAACAGGACGUCAUAGAGGGUGAGAAUCCCGUAUGUGACUGGCUUGCACCCUCCACGUAGCUCCUUCGACGAGUCGAGUUGUUUGGGAAUGCAGCUCUAAAUGGGAGGUAAAUUUCUUCUAAAGCUAAAUACCGGCCAGAGACCGAUAGCGCACAAGUAGAGUGAUCGAAAGAUGAAAAGCACUUUGGAAAGAGAGUUAAAAAGCACGUGAAAUUGUUGAAAGGGAAGCGCCCGCAACCAGACUUUGCGGCAGUGUUCGGCCGGUCUUCUGACCGGUUUACUCGCUGUCGUGAGGCCAUCAUCGUCUGGGACCGCUGGAUAAGACCUUAGGAAUGUAGCUUCCCUCGGGAAGUGUUAUAGCCUCUGGUGAUGCAGCGCGUCUCGGGCGAGGUCCGCGCUUCGGCAAGGAUGAUGGCGUAAUGGUUGUCGGCGGCCCGUCUUGAAACACGGACCAAGGAGUCUAACAUCUAUGCGAGUGUUCGGGUGUCAAACCCCUACGCGUAAUGAAAGUGAACGGAGGUGGGAACUUUUUGUGCACCAUCGACCGAUCCUGAUGUCCUCGGAUGGAUUUGAGUAAGAGCAUAGCUGUUGGG
rnacentral:rRNA from 1 species